rnacentral:rRNA from 1 species
AUUGAACGCUGGCGGCAGGCCUAACACAUGCAAGUCGAACGAGUGGCGGACGGGUGAGUAAUGUCUGGGAAACUGCCUGAUGGAGGGGGAUAACUACUGGAAACGGUAGCUAAUACCGCAUACCAUCGGAUGUGCCCAGAUGGGAUUAGCUAGUAGGUGGGGUAAAGGGUCACCUAGGCGACGAUCCCUAGCUGGUCUCAGAGGAUGGCGAGCCAAACUGGAACUGAGACACGGGCCAGACUCCUACGGGAGGCAGCAGUGGGGAAUAUUGCACAGUGGGCGCAAGCCUGAAGCAGCCAUGCCGCGUGUAGGAAGAAGGCCUUCGGGUUGUAAAGUAAUUUCAGCGGGGAGGCGUUACCCGCAGAAGAAGCACCGGCUAACUCCGUGCCAGCAGCCGCGGUAAUAC